UUGUCCGGUGAUGUUUACAAAAAAGAUUACCCAUGUUGAUCAAAUGAGGCGUUUACAAAUAAAAUUGUUAGCAGAGACGAUGGAAAAAGCUACUGCAAAAGCUGCUGUCACUACAGAUAUAAUUGAUAAUCGAUAGCUUCAUCCUCAUCCACUUCGAUCUUAAUCAGUUGUAAGACACUUCAUCGAGAACAGUAUAACUGUAACAGCAAUUCCACUGAUGAAUCAUCGUCGCUUUUUUUUCCAAACCUACAAGCUCUGAAAUAUUCUCCGAAAGAGUGUAUAGUUCUGAACAAAAGCACCAUUGAUGUACCCUGCAUGCAUUGAUUCAAUCCUCAACAUCCCCUUCUUCUGUUACUACAAGAUGAUCACUCACCUUCGAAACAACAGAACAUCUAUCCGACCCACAAGAUACGAAAAUCGACCUUGUACUCGUUUAACUAUUCUUCCGGCAAUGCUCACCGUCAGAAUGGAGUAGGUGAAUGUUAUGCGGAUGAAAUCACACCAACGAGCUUAUCGAGCUUAUUUCACUCUAAUCGCCAGCAUAGACCAUCGCAAAUGUAACCAAAUUGAAUAUCCAAGCAAACUCAACGAUGUUAACGGUCGAUACCAUCAAAGCUAGGUGUUGCUGCUGUCGAUGUAGACAAUUCCAACAAAGAAAUCUGCUUUCGCCGGAAUUUCACUGAUGAUGAUACAAUCUGAUACUGUGAACGCCAGCAGCAAAGAUCUGCUAGUUCAUGAUUUUGUGCAAGAGUAUAGUGUAUGUAUGUAAAUUGAAUGUACAGAAAAUAAAUAUUUGUAAACU